rnacentral:lncRNA from 1 species
GGCAUGAAAUCAGACAUUACAAGCUACAUCAUCCAAGCCUGUAGCAGUACCACACAACCCAACAAGGAAAGGAGUAAAUGCAGAACAUCAGCAAACAACAGUACAAUAAUAGCCAAACUUCCCAGACAGAACUACCCAAUCAGUAAACCCAGCACAUCAUAAAAUAGUACAUUAGUAGACAAACUCCCAAACAACAGCACACAAUAGCCCAACCGCCCAAUUUGCAUGCCCAACACAACACAUAACUGCCAGCAGAAUGAAAACCAAGCUGUAGCAGCGUUAGGCUUACCAACAGCAGUGUCCAGCAAUGACACACCCAAACCAACAGCAUUAGAAACCCCAGCAGCAGCCGAGACAUACACAGUGCACCCCAACUAAAGCCCAACCAACCUAGCUAUAACCCACAGCUGUCGAGAAAGCAACAAUGGCCAACAGACUGCAACAGUUUGCAGCAGCAGAGGGCCCAACCCAAAAUGCCAGACACACCUGAACUGCCUAACUAGACCCCAACAACAACUGUGCAACACAAACAUGCAAAUUCAUAGCAUAACAUAACAGAUUCCAUAUGAACAAACCAUAUCUGAACUAAGCUUAGCAGCCACUGAACAUGAUACAACAGAGAACAAACAACAAUAGUAAACAGCUGACAAUAUGCUUGGAGACCUUGGUGCAAAUGAUAUCCAACAGCUGUCGAGAAAGUGUCAUAGCGCAACAACAAUACAAGAGAAGAUAACAUCAGCUAGCCGGCCCUAGCUUGAGUAGUAGCGAAGCAAGAUGCAA